AUUGAACGCUGGCGGCAGGCCUAACACAUGCAAGUCGAGCGGAUGAAGGGAGCUUGCUCCUGGAUUCAGCGGCGGACGGGUGAGUAAUGCCUAGGAAUCUGCCUGGUAGUGGGGGAUAACGUCCGGAAACGGGCGCUAAUACCGCAUACGUCCUGAGGGAGACAGUGGGGGAUCUUCGGACCUCACGCUAUCAGAUGAGCCUAGGUCGGAUUAGCUAGUUGGUGGGGUAAAGGCCUACCAAGGCGACGCUCCGUAACUGGUCGGAGAGGAUGAUCAGUCAAACGGGAAAUGAAAAACGCUCCAAAACCCUACGGAGGGCAGCAGGGGGGAAUUUGGGACAAUGGGGGAAACCCUGAACCAGCCAACCCGCGUGUGUAAAGAAGGGUUUCGGAUUGUAAAACCCUUUAAGUUGGGAGGAGGGGAGUAAAGUUAAUACCUGGUUGUUUUGACGUUACCAACAGAAAAAGCCCCGGCUAACUUCGU
rnacentral:rRNA from 1 species